AGCAGUCGCCGCGGUAAUACGGAGGGUGCAAGCGUUAAUCGGAAUUACUGGGCGUAAAGCGCACGCAGGCGGUCUGACAAGUCAGAUGUGAAAUCCCCGGGCUUAACCUGGGAACUGCAUUUGAAACUGUCAGGCUGGAGUCUUGUAGAGGGGGGUGGAAUUCCAGGUGUAGCGGUGAAAUGCGUAGAGAUCUGGAGGAAUACCGGUGGCGAAGGCGGCCCCCUGGACAAAGACUGACGCUCAGGUGCGAAAGCGUGGGGAGCAAACAGGAUUAGAUACCCCUGUUGUCCCUGUCUCUUAUAC
rnacentral:rRNA from 1 species